rnacentral:rRNA from 1 species
GAUGAACGCUGGCGGCGUGCCUAAUACAUGCAAGUCGAGCGAACAGACGAGGAGCUUGCUCCUCUGACGUUAGCGGCGGACGGGUGAGUAACACGUGGAUAACCUACCUAUAAGACUGGGAUAACUUCGGGAAACCGGAGCUAAUACCGGAUAAUAUAUUGAACCGCAUGGUUCAAUAGUGAAAGACGGUUUUGCUGUCACUUAUAGAUGGAUCCGCGCCGCAUUAGCUAGUUGGUAAGGUAACGGCUUACCAAGGCAACGAUGCGUAGCCGACCUGAGAGGGUGAUCGGCCACACUGGAACUGAGACACGGUCCAGACUCCUACGGGAGGCAGCAGUAGGGAAUCUUCCGCAAUGGGCGAAAGCCUGACGGAGCAACGCCCGUGAGUGAUGAAGGUCUUCGGAUCGUAAAACUCUGUUAUUAGGGAAGAACAAAUGUGUAAGUAACUAUGCACGUCUUGACGGUACCUAAUCAGAAAGCCACGGCUAACUACGUG